AUUGAAACACUGGUACCCAUACAAUCACCAAAGUUAAGCAAUGUUGAGUUUGGAUAGUAGCUAAAUGGGUGACCACUUAGGAAUAUCAAGUACUGUAAG